AUGCUGCCCCAGGGGCAUCUCCAAAGAGAGCGCCCCCCAGGACGGGCAGGCCUUCAAAGAGGAAGGCAAAUGAAGAUACGGCUGAGCCUUCAUCAAAGAGCCAUGAAUCAUCGGUGCCGCAGGGCCGUUUUACAUGACCCCGGCUUUUCAGAAGAGGUGUUUAAUGCCUUCAGCUCAGCUGAUGCAUACAUCCGAGCUGCACGAGAUGGGGUUAUCAGAGCCACAAAGCAGCAUUUAAAAGAUGUACGGGUUCUUAGCGAGAAGAAUGACCUGCUAGCCCAAGAGCUGGAAAAGUGUCGGACACAGCUAACUGCUGCUACCACCAAACUGGAAAAGUUCAAGAACGCGUCCUCUGGGUCGUCAGUCCAACUGGAAGAGAAACUGAAGGCCACUCAAAAGGGCGAGAAAGAGGCGAAAAGACUACAUGCCGCAGGCGAGCGCGUUCUGACCCGAGUCAGAGAGCAGAAAAACAAACUCUAG
rnacentral:rRNA from 1 species